CCCACGUCCCUCAGCGCCCCCGCGUGCGUCCCCACGUCACUCAGGGGCCCUGCGUGCGUCCGCUCAGUGGCCGGGUGUAUGUCCCCUCAGCGGUCCAGCAUGUAGGUUGUGUGGUGUUGCUUUUCGAGGUGGUUUGUGAUGCUUGAUUUUCCUGCAAGAGUGGAAGGAAGAAACGUUGAGGAGGACCCUGCAGGUUACCUGGGCCCCACCAGGUCAUCAGGAGCAUCUCCCAUCUCAAGAUUCAUCACCGAGUUCCCUAUGCAGAGUCCCUGGUGCGGUGUAAGCAAGCAAUCCACAGGUUCCAGCGGGUGGGGUGUGGAUAUCAGGCAUGCGUGUUCUUCCAAGCUUGCAAAAGUUACACAAAUGUAUGCCAUGAGGGUUAGAGAACAGAGUGAGGAAUACUUAGUUGGGAAAGGCAAAAUAAAUGCAUCAGUCUGUACAGAACCACAAAGAAUAAAUGGGAGGAAGGCAGGACCUUGAAGAGGCCACAGGGACCUCAAGGAAGGAGAAAACCAGAACGUUAAACACGAGGAAAGCCCAGGGGUCACAGGAGCGUUAGGCACCAUACGGAGCAGGCUGUGUUCAUGACAUAAAAGGAGGGACACACAGCAUAAAUUUCACAUUCUAAAAUAAUAUGAAAAGACCAUAACUGAAGAGCUGAAGUUGAACUUUGUGGUUUCUCAGAACACAAGUAGAUGAUGACCACCAACCAUGGUUUCUAAAUGAACUGGGUUCAAAAUGUAUCUGGUGGCAACAGAGGGCUUCUUUGGACCCUGGCAUUAGAAGCAUAACAAGGUAAUUUGAGGAGCUGCUAUUUCACAAGGUGGUGGCAUCCCGGGGAGCUUCUAUUCCAUGAGUCAAGUUCAAUAUCUCACCACCGUGGAAAAGGAGUUUCCAAGCAGGAACGAGCAGUAUCACUGGGAAGCCGAUAUUUGGGCCAUCCUUGGAGAUCCCUGCUGUGAGGACGGCAGGUGUUCCUCCCGUGAAAGCACUAAACUGGGUGUGACUCAGGGCCAGGUGGGAAUUCACACAUGUAUCUGGUUGAUGGCAAGGCGGAGACGUGUGCCCCCGUGAGUCCUGUUCCAUGUUGGUCUGCAUGAAUGGAGGCUCUGCAGACAGACCCUCGGACUGCAUCUCCAAAGACUGAACCUGGACCCUGGGGGGUCCUGCUGCCUCCUGGUAUUUCAAGGACGAUGACCAUCACGAGGGGAAAGGCGGGCCUGGCCACCGUCCUGUCACUGACACACUUGCUCCUGACAUACAGCUCCUAAAGCCUUGGAAUCUGUGGAGUGACAACAUCUUUUGUGUGCUAAUGAGAUGACUGGGGGCUGGGGACGCCUGGACAGCCUCAGGAUGGAGCAGGUCACCAGAGGAACCAGCCAUGUGCAUAGAGGGUUGGAACUUGUGGUCCCAUCCCCAACCUCUAGGGAGGGGAGAAGGCUGAAGGUCAAGUUGAUCACCAGUGGACAGUGAUUUAACAAAUCAUGCCUA
rnacentral:lncRNA from 1 species